AUACAAAUCACCUGGGGAUUUUGUUAAAAUACAAAUUCUGAUUCAGUAAGUGUGGGAGGGGGCCUAAGAUUCUGUAUUUCUGAUAAGCCCCCAGGUGAUGCCAGU
rnacentral:pre_miRNA from 1 species